rnacentral:rRNA from 1 species
UGGGGAAUCUUCCACAAUGGACGCAAGUCUGAUGGAGCAACGCCGCGUGAGUGAAGAAGGUCUUCGGAUCGUAAAGCUCUGUUGUUGGUGAAGAAGGAUAGAGGCAGUAACUGGUCUUUAUUUGACGGUAAUCAACCAGAAAGUCACGGCUAACUACGUGCCAGCAGCCGCGGUAAUACGUAGGUGGCAAGCGUUGUCCGGAUUUAUUGGGCGUAAAGCGAGCGCAGGCGGAAUGAUAAGUCUGAUGUGAAAGCCCACGGCUCAACCGUGGAACUGCAUCGGAAACUGUCAUUCUUGAGUGCAGAAGAGGAGAGUGGAACUCCAUGUGUAGCGGUGGAAUGCGUAGAUAUAUGGAAGAACACCAGUGGCGAAGGCGGCUCUCUGGUCCGCAACUGACGCUGAGGCUCGAAAGCAUGGGUAGCGAACAGGAUUAGAUACCCUGGUAGUCCAUGCCGUAAACGAUGAGCGCUAGGUGUUGGGGACUUUCCGGUCCUCAGUG